UGGCAUCAGUGACUUAAUGUGUAAUACUUCCAAUGGCAUCUCAUUCUUCAUGUUUUAGUCCCUGUGGUGACCGUGAAUUCAUGUAUAACACUCCCCCUGGCAUCUCUGAAUUCUUGGAUAAUGACCCUCAUGACAUUUCUGCCUUUGUGUGUAACAAAUGCCCAUGAUUUCUCUGAAUUCAAUUGUAACAUACUCUGUGUGUCUCUGACUUCAUGUGUAACACUCACACUGGUGUCCUUGACUUUGUGUGUCACAGUCCUCAUGGAUUCUCUAACAUUGUGUGUAACACUCCACGUGCCCUCCCUGUCUUCUUGUGUAACACUCCCUCUGGCAUCUCUGGCUCUGUGUUUAAUAAUCCUCAUGGUGCUUCUGACUUCAUGUGNGUGCAUAACACACCCCCAUGGCAGCUCUAACUUCGUGUGUCACACUCUGUCCUCUCUGAAAUUGUGCAUCACUAACCCUCUAGUGUCAUUGACUUCAUGUGUAAAACUCUCCCUCACGUCUCUGAAUUCAUGCAUCACAAUCUCCCUUUCUCUCCUGACUUUGUGUGUCACAUUCAAUUUGGUGUCUCUGACUCUGUGCGUAAGAUUCCCCAUGGCAUCUCUGGCUUCGUGAGUAACAGAUCCUGUCAUCUCUGACUCCGUGUGUAACACUUCCCCAUUGUGUCUCUGACAUCAUGCAUCACACUCCCUGUGGAUUCUCUCACAUUGUGUGUAACACUCCACCUGUCGUCUUUGACUUCCUGUAUUGCUCUCCCACUGGCAUCUCUGACUUCGUGUGUCACACUCCCCAAGUCACCUAUGACAUCAUGGGUAACACUAUAUGUAGUGUCUCUGACUUUGUGUGUUACACACACCUGAGGCAUCUCUGAAUUCUUGUGUAACACUCACAGGGGCGUCAGUGAGUUCCCAACAAUUCCUUUGGCAUCAGUGACUUAAUGUGUAAUACUUCCAAUGGCAUCUCAUUCUUCAUGUUUUAGUCCCUGUGGUGACCGUGAAUUCAUGUAUAACACUCCCCCUGGCAUCUCUGAAUUCGUGGAUAAUGACCCUCAUGACA
rnacentral:lncRNA from 1 species